UACGUAGGGUGCGAGCGUUUGUCCGGAAUUAUUGGGCGUAAAGGGCUCGUAGGCGGUUUGUCGCGUCGGGAGUGAAAACCUCGGGCUUAACUCGGGGCUUGCUUUCGAUACGGGCAGACUAGAGGUAUGCAGGGGAGAACGGAAUUCCUGGUGUAGCGGUGAAAUGCGCAGAUAUCAGGAGGAACACCGGUGGCGAAGGCGGGUCUCUGGGCAACAACUGACGCUGAGGAGCGAAAGCGUGGGGAGCGAACAGG
rnacentral:rRNA from 1 species